ACCAAAGGCGAAGGCAUUCUGCUGGGACGUUCCUGACUUUGAGCCGCGAAAGCGUGGGUAGCAAAAAGGAUUAGAUACCCUUGUAGUCCACGCCCUAAACAAUGUCUACUAGCUGUUGGGAGUAUCGACCCUCUCGGCGGCGAAGCUAACGCGUUAAGUAGACCGCCUGGGAAGUACGAACGCAAGUUUAAAACUCAAAGGAAUAGACGGGGACUCGCACAAGCGGUGGAGCAUGAGGUUUAAUUCGACGGUACGCGAGGAACCUUACCAGGGUUAGAAAUCCAAAUGAACUCCGAUGGAAACGUUGGAGGUCUCACAAGGACAUUUGGACAGGUGCUGCAUGGUUGCCGUCAGCUCGUGAUUUGAAUUGUUCCCUUCAGUGGGGUAACGAGCGCAACCCUUAUCUCGUGUUAUAAGUGUCACGAGAGACUGCCGUGUUUAACGCGGAGGAAGGCGAGGAUGACGUCAAAUCCGCAUGGCCCUUUGAUACCCUGGGCAACACUCAUGCUACAAUGGCCGAUACAAUGGGUCGCGAAAGCGCAAGCUGGAGCCAAUCCCAUCAAAAUCGGCCUCAGUUCGGAUUGAGGGCUGCAACUCGCCCUCAUGAAGUUGGAAUCGCUAGUAAUCGCGCAUCAGCUAUGGCGCGGUGAAUACGUUCUCGAGUCCUGUACUCACAAUAAACGCGCCGAGCAGGUUAUUAUUCUAAACGGUUUAAAUCCGUUCUUCCGAUUUCGUCAUCGGAACGUAAUCAAAUUGCAGUCAUUAAUCGCGAGAU
rnacentral:rRNA from 1 species